GAUGAACGCUGGCGGCGUGCCUAAUACAUGCAAGUCGAGCGAACGGACGAGAAGCUUGCUUCUCUGAUGUUAGCGGCGGACGGGUGAGUAACACGUGGAUAACCUACCUAUAAGACUGGGAUAACUUCGGGAAACCGUAGCUAAUACCGGAUAAUAUUUUGAACCGCAUGGUUCAAAAGUGAAAGACGGUUUUGCUGUCACUUAUAGAUGGAUCCGCGCUGCAUUAGCUAGUUGGUAAGGUAACGGUUUACCAAGGCAACGAUGCAUAGCCGACCUGAGAGGGUGAUCGGCCACACUGGAACUGAGACACGGUCCAGACUCCUACGGGAGGCAGCAGUAGGGAAUCUUCCGCAAUGGGCGAAAGCCUGACGGAGCAACGCCGCGUGAGUGAUGAAGGUCUUCGGAUCGUAAAACUCUGUUAUUAGGGAAGAACAUAUGUGUAAGUAACUGUGCACAUCUUGACGGUACCUAAUCAGAAAGCCACGGCUAACUACGUG
rnacentral:rRNA from 1 species